rnacentral:snRNA from 3 species
GUGCUCGCUUUGGCAGCACAUAUACUAAAAUUGGAACGAUACAGAGAUUAGCACGGCCCCUGCACAAGGAUGACACGCAAAUUCGUGAAGCAUUCCAUAUUUAA